rnacentral:rRNA from 1 species
AUUGAACGCUGGCGGCAUGCUUUACACAUGCAAGUCGAACGGUAACAGGCCGCAAGGUGCUGACGAGUGGCGAACGGGUGAGUAAUGCAUCGGAACGUACCCAGUCGUGGGGGAUAACGCAGCGAAAGCUGCGCUAAUACCGCAUACGAUCUAUGGAUGAAAGCGGGGGACCGUAAGGCCUCGCGCGAUUGGAGCGGCCGCUGUCAGAUUAGGUAGUUGGUGGGGUAAAGGCUCACCAAGCCGACGAUCUGUAGCUGGUCUGAGAGGACGACCAGCCACACUGGGACUGAGACACGGCCCAGACUCCUACGGGAGGCAGCAGUGGGGAAUUUUGGACAAUGGGCGCAAGCCUGAUCCAGCAAUGCCGCGUGCAGGAAGAAGGCCUUCGGGUUGUAAACUGCUUUUGUACGGAACGAAAAGGCUCUGGUUAAUACCUGGGGCUCAUGACGGUACCGUAAGAAUAAGCACCGGCUAACUACGUGCCAGCCGCCGCGGUAACAC